rnacentral:rRNA from 1 species
AACGAACGCUGGCAGCAUGCCUAACACAUGCAAGUCGAACGAGACCUUCGGGUCUAGUGGCGCACGGGUGCGUAACACGUGGGAAUCUGCCCUUUGCUUCGGAAUAACAGUUAGAAAUGACUGCUAAUACCGGAUGAUGUCGAAAGACCAAAGAUUUAUCGGCAAAGGAUGAGCCCGCGUAGGAUUAGGUAGUUGGUGGGGUAAAGGCCUACCAAGCCGACGAUCCUUAGCUGGUCUGAGAGGAUGAUCAGCCACACUGGGACUGAGACACGGCCCAGACUCCUACGGGAGGCAGCAGUGGGGAAUAUUGGACAAUGGGCGAAAGCCUGAUCCAGCAAUGCCGCGUGAGUGAUGAAGGCCUUAGGGUUGUAAAGCUCUUUUACCAGGGAUGAUAAUGACAGUACCUGGAGAAUAAGCUCCGGCUAACUCCGUG